rnacentral:rRNA from 1 species
GAUAAACGCUGGCGGCGUGCUUAACACAUGCAAGUCGAGCGGAAAGGCCCCUUCGGGGGUACUCGAGCGGCGAACGGGUGAGUAACACGUGAGUAAUCUGCCCCUGGCUUUGGGAUAACCACCGGAAACGGUGGCUAAUACCGAAUAUGACCGCUCCCGGCAUCGGGGGUGGUGGAAAGUUUUUUCGGCCAGGGAUGUGCUCGCGGCCUAUCAGCUUGUUGGUGGGGUAAUGGCCUACCAAGGCUUCGACGGGUAGCCGGCCUGAGAGGGUGACCGGGCACACUGGGACUGAGACACGGCCCAGACUCCUACGGGAGGCAGCAGUGGGGAAUAUUGGACAAUGGGCGGAAGCCUGAUCCAGCAACGCCGCGUGAGGGAUGACGGCCUUCGGGUUGUAAACCUCUUUCAGCGGGGACGAAGCGCCGAUGAUGGUGGUGACGGUACCCACAGAAGAAGCACCGGCCAACUACGUGCCAGCAGCCGCCGUAAGAC